rnacentral:rRNA from 1 species
CAGCCGCCGCGGUAAUACGAAGGGUGCAAGCGUUAAUCGGAAUUACUGGGCGUAAAGCGUGCGUAGGCGGUUUGUUAAGUCUGCUGUGAAAUCCCCGGGCUCAACCUGGGAAUGGCAGUGGAUACUGGCAAGCUGGAGUGUGUCAGAGGAUGGUGGAAUUCCCGGUGUAGCGGUGAAAUGCGUAGAGAUCGGGAGGAACAUCAGUGGCGAAGGCGGCCAUCUGGGACAACACUGACGCUGAGGUACGAAAGCGUGGGGAGCAAACAGGAUUAGAUACCCCUGUAGUCCCUGUCUCUUAUAC